CCUACGGGUGGCAGCAGUGAGGAAUAUUGGUCAAUGGCCGGAAGGCUGAACCAGCCAAGCCGCGUGAAGGACGAAGGUGCCAAGCAUUGUAAACUUCUUUUGUGAAGGGACAAAAUCAGGCUCGAGAGCCUGACCGAGGGUACUUGAAGAACAAGCAUCGGCUAACUCCGUGCCAGCAGACGCGGUAAUACGGAGGCUGCGAGCGUUAUCCGGAUUUAUUGGGUUUAAAGGGUGCGAAGGCGGACUGUUAAGUCAGCGGUAAAAGCCCGGGGCUCACCCCCGGCGAGCCGUUGAUACUGGCUGUCUUGAGUUGUCGAGAGGUAUGCGGAAUGCGCGGUGUAGCGGUGAAAUGCUUAGAUAUCGCGCAGAACUCUGAUUGCGAAGGCGGCAUACCGGCGGCGAUCUGACGCUGAGGCACGAAAGCGUGGGUAUCGAACAGGAUUAGAUACCCGAGUAGUC
rnacentral:rRNA from 1 species